GACGAACGCUGGCGGCGUGCUUAACACAUGCCAGUCGAACGGAAAGGCCCCUUUGGGGGUACUCGAGUGGCGAACGGGUGAGUAACACGUGAGUAACCUGCCCUUGACUUCGGGAUAACUUCAGGAAACUGGGGCUAAUACCGGAUAGGAAUCCUUGCUGCAUGGUGGGGGUUGGAAAGCUUCGGCGGUUUUGGAUGGACUCGCGGCUUAUCAGCUUGUUGGUGGGGUAGUGGCUUACCAAGGCUUUGACGGGUAGCCGGCCUGAGAGGGCGACCGGCCACAUUGGGACUGAGAUACGACCCAGACUCCUACGGGAGGCAGCAGUGGGGAAUAUUGCACAAUGGGCGGAAGCCUGAUGCAGCAACGCCGCGUGCGGGAUGACGGCCUUCGGGUUGUAAACCGCUUUCAGCAGGGGCGAAGCUUGUGGUGACGGUACCUGCAGAAGAAGCACCGGCUAACUACGUG
rnacentral:rRNA from 1 species